rnacentral:rRNA from 1 species
GAUGAACGCUGGCGGCGUGCUUAACACAUGCAAGUCGAACGGGAAGUGACGGCGGUUACCUGCGGCCGGAAGGCUGAAUGGCGAGGGAAGACCGGGGGAAUCACGCGUGGGUAACCUGCUAAAUUCAGGGAGCUAACAGUUGGAAACGACUGGUAAUACCGCAGAAGGCUAGGGCACGGAAUGGUGCGGGGGUAAAAACUCGAGUGGGAUGAGAUGGACCCGCGUCCGGUUAGCCGGUUGGCGGGGUAACGGCCCACCAAAGGGACGAUGGAUAGCCGAGCUGAGAGGAGGACCGGCCACAUUGGGACUGAGACCCGGACCAAACUCGUACGGGAGGGAGCAGAGGGGAAUAUUGCACAAUGGGGGAAGCCCUGAUGCAGCGACGCCGGGUGAGUGAAGAAGUAUUUCGGUAUGUAAAGCUCUAUCAGCCGGGAAGAGAGUGACGGUACCGGAGUAAGAAGCCCCGGCUAACUACGUG